GCAAACUUCCGAGUGCACAAGGGUGACUCAAUGGGAACCUGGAGGAAGGAAGAGGAUAAGCCAUUGACCAUCUCGGGAAAGAGCAUUCUAGGCAAGAGGGAACUACAAAUGCAGAGUCCUGGUCGUUUCCAGGUCCCACCAGGAGACCCGUAGGACUGGAAAGGAGUGAGCGGGUGGGAGUGCAAUGGGAGACGCGGUAGGAAGGGCCAUCAUGAGAGUGGAGGCCCUGGGGAGAAGGGACAGAGUUUCAGUCACAUGGGUCCCUGUGAGCCAUGGUGAUGACUUUGACUCCAAGUGAGGUGGCAAGACAUGAGAGGAUUCGAAGCAGGGAAGUGACAGGUCUGAUUUGUUAACCAGGUCUGACUGAAGUGGGCAAGAGCAGAAGCAGGAAGGCCAGUUAGGAUGCUGUAUGGUCCGGAUGACAGCAGAUGGUGACAUGGACCAGGGCAGUGGCAGAGGAGGGGACAAGAAACGUCACAAUCAACUAAUUCACCUUUCAAAUGUUUUUUGAACCUCGACUGAAUGCUGGCACUGUGCUGGUUCUUACCGUCAGGAGCUUAGAUUCCAGUCGGAGGGACAGAGCAAAGAAGUGAACAAAGUCAAUAUGUGCUAUAAAGUAAAUAUGCGUUUUUAAUAAAGA
rnacentral:lncRNA from 1 species